rnacentral:tRNA from 2 species
UCUAAUAUGGCAGAAUAGUGCAAUGGAUUUAAGCUUCAUAUAUAAAGAAUAACUUUUAUUAGAA